UGCUAAAGUUCACUUCUGCAUGAGUACAAUCCCUUUCUGUCAAAUCAGAAUUGAAAGGAUUGCAAAGGAGAGGCACCGGUGGACCUUUUUGAUUGAGAUAAAGAACUCCAGCUGUAGGUGGUUUCUUGUGCAGUUUUAUUGUCCAUACAUGGCAGAAACUGAAGGCUCAGUGAUGCAUUAGCUGUGGGGUUUUGGAGCCAGUCAUCCACUGCAACACAAGUGUCCGCCACCACACUGAAGUUUGACAGAAUGGGUUUGUUUAGAUGACAAUUUUUCAUUUCUUUUUCAGGGACAGGAUUUAUCAGAAUGAGAGAUUAUUAUCAUUUUGAAAGAUUUCAAAGAUGUUAAACAAGAUUUUCUUUAGAAUCAAAUGAAGUGCAUUGCUUACUUGUGAAAAUCUAAAUUCAUGUAAUUCAAUGGAGCUUACUUGUGAAAAAUGAGAAAUAUCCCACAUAGAAUGAAUGCUAAUGUGACAAGAAUCCAUCCCAGUAUAA